CUUCACAAACAGCGGUUACUGGACAGGCUUACCAGUCUUCUACAAUCUCAGUGCCCUUGCAUCAAGUCGGCUUUCCUCCUUCCGCUAUUUCUAACAUGCACAUAUCAUCUCCUCCACAGUUAUCAACUGCGCCUUCAGUCCCUUUCCUUGACAUUCCUGAAUCCCACAGCAAUACCAACCUGGCCACUAAUCUUGUAAAGCCUUCUUCAUUUUUUGUUACCCCUCCUUCCCCUGCAACAGUGAUUGCACCUGUAUCUUCAUCAGUGCCUAGCUAGUGCUCCUCUGUUUCAACCUGCUGUGAGUCUACAGCGUCCAUAUGGUGCUCCUUUGCUACAACCUUUUCCCCCACCUGCCCCUCCACCAUCUCUCACUCCUGCUUCUUUUUCUACUUCAAACUAUGGGCCAGUUAUUAGCAGAGAUAAAGUCCGAGAUGCACUCCGGCUGCUUGUUCAGGAUAAUCAGUUCGUUGACAUGGUCCAUCUAGCACUCCUUAAAGCACACCACUCAUAAUUCCAUUAGGAGAAGCGUUAAAUAUGCAGGUGAGUGAGCAGCUAUUGGAGGCAGCACUACAAUCUACGGAGAUGGAUUGUUUUGGUUUAUCGUGUAGAAAACCUUCUCCUUUCAGAUUGCAUGAAUGUAUAGAAUAUCUCUUCUCAUUCUCACCAGAGCACCUGAUAUAUUAUCUUAUAUUAUCUUCUAUAUAACCUAAAGGGCGUGGACUGUUCACUGGCGCGUCACUGUUCAUUCGAGUGGCACUGUUCAUUUGAGUCCGAAAAUCAUGUUUUUGAGUAGAAGAGACUGGAAACGCCAAGAAUAUCUAUCAGAUUCCAGAUCUAUCUAAUCACUGUUCUGGCAAUUUACCUUUGUACUAUUCAUAGUCUGAGUAUAUAAGCCAUAAGAUUGACUCACGAGUGGCUUCGGGAACUCUCCAUUUACGUCGACUCCAGCUCCUCCACUGUUGCAAUCUCCGAUCAACGUCAACCUCCAUAGAAACUGAGUGUUCAGAAUUGUCGUGCAUCAAUUCAUCAACCACAGUUUGAAAUUGGAUUGAGGCUUGCAGAACCUUACACUUUCAUCAAUUAUUGUUGACCUUCAACCAGCUAACUAAAACGUUCAAUUUUAUUUCAUUUGGUUGGCUACCUAUGAUCUAUCUGAGCUGCAAAUUGAGGGUGAUGGAAAUCGCCAGUUUCGAGCAAUAGCUGAUCAGUUGUUUCGCAAUCCAGAUUACCAUGAGCAUGUUAGAAAGCAGGAGCUAUGGCUGGUUGCUUCUUAUGAAUUAGCAAGCAUAAGGCGUUCUUAGUGGAGAAAUAAGUGAAUGGUGCACUUCAACAAAUCAGCUUGGACAUCUUUCGACCUUCUACAGAGAUUGGAAGGAGUUCUACAUGUUUCAAGAAGACAUCAACACCAUGAAUGAUCUGUAAUAGUUCUGUUAUUCUGUAUCAAUGUUCACGCCUUAGGAGAUUAUAGUUACAGUUACCACUGAUUUUGGAGUGAAACCUACUCUUGCUCUUUGGGUUCAUAGAAUCCAGAAAGAGAGCGUGGGCUAUGUAGCGUCAUUUAGCGUUUAACUACCAAAAGAUAAUAAUAUUGUUUAUAUAUUCUAAUCAACUGUAAACACAUAUCGAUUAUAAAAAUACCCGCAGCAAAGCGCGGGCUAUCUAUCUAGUCUUUAA